GACGAACGCUGGCGGCGUGCUUAACACAUGCAAGUCGAACGGAAAGGCCUGCUUUCCCUUGUGGAUUGCGGGUACUCGAGUGGCGAACGGGUGAGUAACACGUGAGUGAUCUGCCCCCAACUUGGGUAUAAGCCUGGGAAACUGGGUCUAAUUCCCGAUAGGACUGCAGGGUGGUGCCUGUGGUGGAAAACGAUUUUCUAGUGGUUGGGGAUGAGCUCGCGGCCUAUCAGCUUGGUGGUGGGGUAAUGGCCUACCAAGGCGGCGACGGGUAGCCGGCCUGGGAGGGUGGACGUCCACUUGGGGACUGGGGCACGCCCCAAACUCCUCCGGGAGGGGGGAGUGGGGAAUAUUGCCCAGGGGGCGGAAGCAGGAAGCCGCGGCCGCGGGUGGGGGAGGACGGCUUUCGGGUUGUAAUUUCCUUUCGACCGGGGGAAAACCCCCUUGUUGGGAGGGUGUGGCGGGAAGUUGAAAAAGAAGAACCGGUAAACUCCUG
rnacentral:rRNA from 1 species